rnacentral:rRNA from 1 species
CACGUAGGGGGCGAGCGUUGUCCGGAAUCAUUGGGCGUAAAGAGCUCGUAGGCGGCUCGUCAAGUCUGGUGUGAAACCCCCAGGCUCAACCUGGGGACGCCACCCGAUACUGCUGUGGCUAGAGUCCAGUAGGGGAGUGUGGAAUUCCCGGUGUAGCGGUGAAAUGCGCAGAUAUCGGGAGGAACACCAGCGGCGAAGGCGGCACUCUGGGCUGGAACUGACGCUGAGGAGCGAAAGCGUGGGUAGCAAACAGG